rnacentral:rRNA from 1 species
UACGGAGGGUGCAAGCGUUGUCCGGAAUCACUGGGCGUAAAGGGCGCGUAGGCGGCUCAUGAAGGCUGUGGUGAAAGUCCGGGGCUCAACCUCGGAUCGGCCGUGGCGACUCGUGGGCUGGAGCACUGUAGAGGCGGGUGGAAUUCCGGGUGUAGCGGUGGAAUGCGUAGAGAUCCGGAAGAACACCAGUGGCGAAGGCGGCCCGCUGGGCAGCGGCUGACGCUGAGGCGCGACAGCGUGGGGAGCAAACAGG